rnacentral:tRNA from 1 species
AAGAAAUAGUUUAUUUUAAAAUAUUAAUUUUGGAGAUUAAAGAUAGUUAAUGCUUUUCUUGAU